UUCAGAUCAUAAGGCUUGUCCAGUCAACAGCUUUCGAUUUUAUUUGUGCGAAUAUUUGUAAAUUUUUUGGAAAAUGUUGGACGUUAUCUUGUUAAUUAAAUAUAUAAGACUGCAUGAAGUUUGGGAUAAAAAAUAAAUGAUUUUCUGUAAUCCAAUCUGCGCUCUUUGCUCGGUGUCCUUUUGCCUAUAUCUGUAAAGAAGUUCUACUAAAAGACCUCAUCAAGAUGUGCUGUGGACCUUGUUACAAUUGCUGCGCGGCUAGCGGUGCUUAUUAUUGACCUUGCAGCUCCUGCUGCGGACCCUGUUAUUCUCUUGUGGUGGUCGAUAUCGUCCUUGUGGUAGCUGUGGUUCAUGGCUCAGAGCCGGAUGCAGGGCAAGAUACUAGGUAGUAGUUCAACCGAUCUUUGUAUAUGAAAUUGACAACAAAUUUGUAAAUUUUUCGUAUUAUGCCAGUUGUGUAUGAGUAAAUGGUGAUAAGUCUAAAAUGUAGUUUAUACUUGAAGGAAAUCAAGAUUUUUCCUGUAGAUGAUUUUUAGAAUCGAACUGAGUUGAGAAGGACUUUGUACAUAUCAUUUUCUAAGGACAUCAAAGUAACCUUUGAAAUUUGAAGUUGUACAAUCUUCCCUUAGCUACCCAGCCAAGUACAUUCCCGUGUUAAGGCUUGUCCAAUAAACAUCUCUAAUUUUUUAAGAAAUCGACUGAUUCGGAUACCAUAACAAAAUAGUUUACUAAAUGUUAUAAGUCGGUCGAUUAGCCCUCUGCACUCCUGCCAACUGCCUCUUUCCGUGAAGUAGUUCAGCUAAGAGUACUCCAAAGUUAACAUUGCAAUCAGCAUGGGCUUUCCUUGCUAUUCGUGUAACUAUUCCUGCACCUCGCCCUGCAAUGGAUGUUGCAAUGGCUGCUGCGGCUGCAAUGGCUGCUGCGGCGGUAGCGGUUGCUCCGCUGCGGCGUGCUGCUUUCCCGGCGGCUGUGGGGGAUCCUGCUGUUAAACUGCAACUAUCUUCAGAAGGAAAUCUAGGACCUACAUACAACGCAAAAGAUUAGAGAUAAUGGUAUCGAUAAGCCUUUUAAAUUCCGUAUUUCCAAUUUUGGAGAAAAAAAGAAUGUCAUAAUAAAUUGUGUUUUCAUUAAAGCAUGA